UCCUACGGGGGGCAGCAGUGGGGAAUAUUGCACAAUGGGGGAAACCCUGAUGCAGCAACGCCGCGUGGGUGAAGGAGCGUUUCGGCGCGUAAAGCCCUGUCAGCGGGGAAGAAGAAAGACGGUACCCGACCAAGAAGCCCCGGCUAACUACGUGCCAGCAGCCGCGGUAAUACGUAGGGGGCGAGCGUUAUCCGGAAUUACUGGGUGUAAAGGGAGCGUAGACGGCGAGGUAAGCCUGAAGUGGAAGCCCGCGGCCCAACCGCGGAACUGCUCCCCCCCCCCC
rnacentral:rRNA from 1 species